rnacentral:rRNA from 1 species
UACGGAGGGUCCAAGCGUUAUCCGGAAUCAUUGGGUUUAAAGGGUCCGUAGGCGGUUUUGUAAGUCAGUGGUGAAAGCCCAUCGCUCAACGGUGGAACGGCCAUUGAAACUGUUAAACUUGAAUUAUUAGGAAGUAACUAGAAUAUGUAGUGUAGCGGUGAAAUGCUUAGAGAUUACAUGGAAUACCAAUUGCGAAGGCAGGUUACUACCAAUAUAUUGACGCUGAUGGACGAAAGCGUGGGGAGCGAACAGG